rnacentral:rRNA from 1 species
AGAAUCAACGCUGGCGGCGUGCCUAACACAUGCAAGUCGCACGAGAAAGUGGAGCAAUCCAUGAGUAAAGUGGCGCACGGGUGAGUAACACGUGAAUGAUCUACCUCCGAGUGGGGAAUAACUGAGAGAAAUCUUAGCUAAUACCGCAUAAUACCCACGGGUCAAAGCAGCAAUGCGCUUGGAGAGGAGUUCGCGGCCGAUUAGCUAGGUUGGCGGGGUAAUGGCCCACCAAGGCAAUGAUCGGUA